AUGGCCGAAUGCUUCAAUAGGGUGCUCAAAGGUGCACGUGGAUUACCCGUGACGGCAAUAGUUCAAUACACAUUUGACAAGAUGAAUGCGUACUUUGUAAAGUACUCGAUGGAAACCGAUGCACAGAUAGCGGGUGAGAACCCACGGAAGUACAAGUACAAGUUCCCACCCAAAGUUGAUGAAUGGUUGCUAUUUCAAUCACGGAAGGCGGACUCAGAAGAAGCUAUAUUAUAUGACAAUGAGGAGUGGAAGUACGAAGUGAAAGAGCCAGGAGGAACCACAAACGAUGGCCGGCAACAUGGAGGUCGGGCUUUCAAGGUGUCAUUAACACAAUGUGAUUGCACUUGCGGGAGGCCAUUGUUGCUUCAUCUCCCAUGCUCACAUUUGUAUGCCGCCGGCCGCGUUAGGAAUGUGGACAUCAAUCACCCACGCACCGUGAGGGAGUCCCAGUUCUCAAUCAUGACGGUCAAGAAAACAUGGGCUCCCCGCUUUCACCCAUACUUUGACCAAUCACAAUGGCCGGAGUAGCAUGGAGUUCAACUAUGGCCGGAUCCG
rnacentral:rRNA from 1 species